rnacentral:rRNA from 1 species
CUUUACUGAGUGUCGUGGCGGGCCGGCACGUUUACUUUGAACAAAUUAGAGUGCUAAAAGCAGGCCUCAUGCCUGAAUAUUGUGUGCAUGGAAUAAUAGAAUAGGACCUCGGUUCUAUUUUGUUGGUUUUCUGGACCAGAGGUAAUGAUUAAGAGGAACGGACGGGGGCAUUCGUAUUGAGACGUUAGAGGUGAAAUUCUUGGAUCGUCUCAAGACGGACAGAAGCGAAAGCAUUUGCCAAGAACGUUUUCAUUAAUCAAGAACGAAAGUUAGAGGUUCGAAGGCGAUCAGAUACCGCCCUAGUUCUAACCAUAAACGAUGCCAGCCAGCGAUCCGCCAAAGUUCCUCCGAUGACUUGGCGGGCAGCUUCCGGGAAACCAAAGCUUUUGGGUUCCGGGGGAAGUAUGGUUGCAAAGCUGAAACUUAAAGGAAUUGACGGAAGGGCACCACCAGGAGUGGAGCCUGCGGCUUAAUUUGACUCAACACGGGAAACCUCACCAGGUCCGGACACCGGAAGGAUUGACAGAUUAAGAGCUCUUUCUUGAUUCGGUGGGUGGUGGUGCAUGGCCGUUCUUAGUUGGUGGAACGAUUUGUCUGGUUAAUUCCGAUAACGAACGAGACUCUAGCCUGCUAACUAGCCGUUUCCGGCAUCAUAAGCUGCCGGCGGUUAAAAAAUCUUCUUAGAGGGACAGGCGGCUUCUAGCCGCACGAGAUUGAGCAAUAACAGGUCUGUGAUGCCCUUAGAUGUCCUGGGCCGCACGCGCGCUACAAUGAAGGUAUCAACGUGUCUUCCCAGGCCGAACGGUCCGGGUAACCCGCUGAACCACCUUCGUGCUAGGGAUUGGGGCUUGCAAUUGCUCCCCAUGAACGAGGAAUUCCCAGUAAGCACGAGUCAUAAGCUCGUGUUGAUUACGUCCCUGCCCUUUGUACACACCGCCCGUCGCUACUACCGAUUGAAUGAUUUAGUGAGGUCUUCAGACUGGUGCGCGAUAGCAUUAUUCAUAGUGCUGCCGAUGCUACUGGAAAGAUGACCAAACUUGAUCAUUUAGAGGAAGUAAAAGUCGUAA